CUGAUACUUACGGUUAAGCACAAGAUGGCAUUGUGUUCGUCGAAAAACAAGAGGAAAACGCUAUAGAACUAUUAAUCAUUUGAUAUAUUGAUUACUUAGAAAAGAUUGUUCAAAAUUUUAAGUCCCUGUAGAAUAUUUUUCAAUCGUUGGAAGCAUGAAAAAGAUUUAUGACAUUUUUUAAAUGCACAAUAUAUUUAAUUUUUGUCUCUGUAAUAAAUCAUUUGAAAUUGAUUGAGGAGAUGUAUGUUUUUCUUUCUUUUUGUUUAAUUCGUUUAAUUGUAUUUGCUUUGGUAAUUUUUAAUUUCCUGUGUUUGCUCUAUUUCGUUUGUUAACUGUUCAGCACAGAUAAUAUUAUAUUAUCAUCAUCGUGGAGAUUAUGAAAGAGAAAUUUAUUUCAAUAAAAUGCAGGUAUUCAGUAUUUUACAGUCGUUUUUUCAUGUUUGUGCCUUUCUCCUAGUUCAUUAUGUAUAUCUGAUAAAUUAUUGGAAUAUUUACACUUUUAUUAUAUGUUAUGUGCUUCAGUGUUGCUAAACGGAACAUUUAUGGAAAGAAAAGGAAAAUGUAAAACGGGAGAAGAAUGAGAAUAUUAGUGUGUAGUUUUUAUAAAAGUAGUAACUUAUCUCUAUAUGAAAGACAAUAAAUUUGUCAAGUAGGAAAUGAGACAAGUGGACGAUUAAAAACGUUAUGAUGGCACAAGCGUACUGUUUGCAGUAGUUGGCAGUUUUCUCUGCAGAUACGUGGAUUUUCUAUGGCAUUGGUAUACGCUCUGUGUAUAUUGUAAGUGGCUGCGGUAUUCGGCUAGUCAGAUCGAUGAGACGCCGUCGUCGUGGCGCCUCGUGAACGCCCAGCCCUGCUGUCUUGGCUAAACUUGCGCUUUUGGGAUCACUUAUUUUUCUCAUAUAUUUUUAAAUAAUAUUGACAGACAUUGCUAAACAAUGGUAAUUACUUUUUGUAAACCGUCCAACACUUUUGUAUAACGAGAACGAAGCCAGUUAUGUAAUUGUGCCAAUUACUAGUCGUUAAUCUUUAAUCGGCAUACGAAAAAUGUAAUUAUAAUUGUAUCGGAGAGUAUAAAGAAAGCGUCGUAAUAUCUUAAUGGCAACGAUACAAGAGGUAGACGUGCUUUAUCGCAGGAGAAAAAUUUGAAAUCUUUAAAAGGAGGCCAUCGACGUUAUAGCUGCUGAAUAUACCGUGUUACAGACUGUAAUGUAGAAGAUGCCAAGUGUAAAAUAAUUCGAACGAUGUAAUAAUGAUGCUGAUGCAAAUGCUAAGAACCAGAACGAGACAAAUUUGAAUAGAUAGAAAGGAUAUAGAUAAUUAUGAAAUAUUGAUGUUUUUGAAAAAAUUGGAAGAGAAAUAUACCAUCAAUCGGGUACGAUAUUUCAUAGAUACAGGGUUGAAGAUUGUGAGAUGCAAUGCGGCAAUCGAAGACGGCCAACGAAUCGAUAUAUCGACCCCGCGAUCAACAAACAUUUUAAUUGAUUACAUUAUUCCUUUUCUUUAUGAUCUUUCUCGUUUUAGUAGAUUCAAAAUUACCGAACAAUAAAUAUAAAUAAUUAUUUAUCUACAAACCAAUAAAAUUAGAAAUAUUGUCAAAUAAUUAUACAUGUUUCAAUUAUUAGGAAAUUUACGAAUUUUUAUAAGUUUGUCAACCAAAUAAAUUUAACUGACCAAACAACAGAGGUCACAUCUGCAGUUGUAGCUAUAUGCAUUCAUACACAUAUAUCUCUGAAGCGGCUUCAUUACGUAAUUGAUAACACAACUGCUCGUAAAAUAUUUCUUAUUUUUAAAAAUAUAUUUUUGGGGGCUUUAUCUGAAUGUUCAAUCGAGCAUUUUUCCAUUUUAUAUCGAAACGAUUAUUUGUCUCAUCUAUGGAAAUCUGUUACUUCAUCUUCAAUAAAAAAUUACUAGAAAAUGGAAAUAAAUGUACAUAUAUAGUGAAAGAAUUUUAACUAUUUUAAGCCCUAUGCUUUGUUCGAAAAAAGUAUCGAGAAAAAAGUUAGAGAAUGGUAUUAGUGAUAUAGAAUGGACGAUGAAGUAAAACGAUAAGAAUUACGGGAACAGAUCCUCCCUGCAGUGCGACAAAUAGUAUACCUACGUAUGUGGCCCACUCAUCAGACGUGACAUGUUAUACUUAUUUUGGCAUCAUUAUAUGUUUAUUUUAGAGAAUGAAUAAGUAUAAAUUGCAGUCAUAGAUAGUAAUUACAUGCUGGAGAAGAU